CAUUUUUGAGCCUCAGUAUGCUCUUGCUCGACAUCUAAUUACUAAACAUGUACAAUUGGAAGCAGUUGUAGAUGAUACAUAUGAUGCAUAUGGUACACUUGAUGAACUUAAAUCUUUUACAGCUGCACUUGAAAGGUUUAGUAUGGAUGCUACUGAUGAGCUACCGGAAUACAUGAAAGUUCUUUAUAAGGCUAUCUUCAAUCACUUUAAAGAAACAGAGAAUAAUGGCAAUGAAGGAAGCUCUUACAAAACCUCUUUUGCUAGGGAGAUGUUGAAGGAACUGACAAGAGGUUACCUAACCGAGGCA